rnacentral:lncRNA from 1 species
AUGGUUAUCUGCACCGUGAUCUUGCUGCUGCUUCCAUUGCUUGGCCGUCCUGGCCAGCAGCCUCUAAUCUCCCCACCGUCUGUUCUGGCGCUGAUCCGCGCCUUCCACCCGGGACGUCCAUGGGUCUCCUGUUCUGCGGAUCCAGAACCAUCACCUCCAGCCGGGCUACAUCCGCUGCGUGCCAGGCCCGCAGACGCUACAGCCUCCUGGACGUCCCUGGCCACAGACAGGGGAGUCCAGCAUCUUCUCCGGAAGUUCCGUGCUGGGCCCGAGGGUCCACCUCAGGAAAGGGGUCGCGUGCCAGCUGUUCACCCAGGCCGGAGAGGCCUCCCCAGCCCUCCAGUCCCCUGCCAGCCCCAUAGUCCCUGCUUGGGGCCAGGCACCACCAGCCUCUUGCUCUGGGCGAUCCUGACAUUCUCCUCUCUGGCCUCCCUCCUCUCUUCAGAACACCCAUGUGACCUGUCCCUUCCCUGCUAAGCUGCCUUCGGGAGGAAUCCCAAGCAACCUGGCCCCCAGGCUCCUGGGCAGUCUGCCCCUCACGCUGUCACCCUGUGGCCACUCUGUCCUGCCCUGCCCUGGCUGUGUCCCAUGAUAUACAGCUAGAACUGGCUCUGUUUGGCCUGGGCUCUAAAGCCAGCAGGCCAGGGCUGGUGGGGAAGGCCUCGCCUGGCCAGAGGGACCCCCAGCGCCAGCCUCCCACCUUCCCCAGGGCUGCAGUGAGGGGGGCCCAGGCCCCAGUGCCUCAGCCAUGGCCUCCUGCUGGAGGCUUCUUUUCUACUCACCCAUUGGAUGGUUUUUACCAAUUAUAACAUAAUAAUAUAUAGCACACAUAUAUUAUGAAAUAUAUGCUAUGCCACUGAAAAAAUUCAGAGAAGCAGAGAAAAUAGAGAUGAUAGGAUUUCCAGUUCCAAAGAUAAACAAUGUUAUCAAACCAUGGAAGAAUAUUUCCUUCUAACCUUUCUCUAUGAAUAUUACACAAGUCUCUAUAUGUUCUAUCAUUUAUAAUACUAUAGCCUCAUUAAAAUAAAACACAGAAAAGCAAACUCCA